CAUCGAUGAAGAACGCAGCGAAAUGCGAUAAGUAAUGUGAAUUGCAGAAUUCAGUGAAUCAUCGAAUCUUUGAACGCACAUUGCGCCCGCCAGUAUUCUGGCGGGCAUGCCUGUUCGAGCGUCAUUUUCAACCCUCAAGCCCCCCCUGCUUGGUGUUGGG
rnacentral:rRNA from 1 species